CCCUUAGAUGUUCUGGGCUGCACGCGCGCUACACUGAUGCGAUCAACGAGUUUUUCCUUUGUCGAUAGACAUGGGUAACCUUUUGAACUCGCAUCGUGAUGGGGAUAGAUUAUUGUAAUUAUUAAUCUUCAACGAGGAAUUCCUAGUAGGUGCAAAUCAUCAGUUUGCAUCGAUUACGUCCCUGCCCUUUGUACACACCGCCCGUCGCUGCUACCGAUUGGUUGAUCUGGUGAAUUAUUCGGACUGCCGGAUGAAGGGGUUUCCUCAUCUUCCAGCGGAAAGUCUUGUUAACCCUAUCAACUAGAGGAAGCAGAANUCGUANCA
rnacentral:rRNA from 1 species